AGAUUAUUAUAGUUAAUGUACUUAUGAAGAUGAAUGAAUCCAUUUCUUCUCUUUGAUAUGAAACUCCUUAAAGCUCUGCAGCCUCCUUUUUGCUUAUUCAAUGCUCCACUCCUUUUUAUGAAGUGCCGGGCACUGUGGAUAUCUUGAGGAUACAAAGGGAGAAGGCAUCAGGUUGGCUAAGCUUAGGCCAUGUGUCCACCAUUGGCCAGAGGAAGAUAGGUACCACUAUUGACUAUAUCCUAUAAAAAAGAAGUGUUUCUCCAAACCACAACUGGAAUGCUGUGAUCACAAAAAGAGAGAAAAGAUACUGAGCUGCCAAAA